rnacentral:misc_RNA from 1 species
UUAACUAUUAUAUAGUACUCAGACGACACUAACAUUCAGGGUUUGGGGGGUCUCUGGCGAGCGGGUCCGGCCGAAACCAGCGCCCGAGGGCGGCUCGCCAAAGCAACAAUGUACAAUUAGACACGGGUGGGAGGUCUACCCUUGCGGGCAUGAGCUCAGUAAUGAUCCUUCCGCAGGUUCACCUACGGAAA